rnacentral:rRNA from 1 species
GUACACGCUGUGACUAGCAUAUCAAUAAGCGGAGGAAAAGAAACUAACAAGGAUUCCCCUAGUAACGGCGAGUGAAGCGGGAAGAGCUCAAAUUUGAAAUCUUAAAGGGUUUCCCUUUACGAAUUGUAGUUUAAAGAAGUGUUUUCUGUUGAGGUUUUGGUAAAAGUUCUUUGGAAUAGGACAUCAUAGAGGGUGAGAAUCCCGUAUUUGACCUUUACUUUCAACUUUGUGAUACACUUUCAAAGAGUCGGAUUGUUUGGGAAUGCAGUCCUAAAUGGGUGGUAAAUUUCAUCUAAAGCUAAAUAUUGGCGAGAGACCGAUAGCGAACAAGUACCGUGAGGGAAUGAUGAAAAGAACUUUGAAAAGAGAGUUAAACAGUACGUGAAAUUGUCAAAAGGGAAGCGUUUGACACCAAUGUUGUUUUUCUGAAAAUCAAUUAAAGAACUGUUUAUGCUAAGUUGUUUAGACUUUAUCAGCCUAACUGUUUAGUUUUGAGCUUUUCUUUAAUGCACUUUUCAGUUAGCAAGUCAACAUCAAUUUCAUUUUGCUGUAAAAAAGCUUGAGGAAGGUGGCUUGAGAUUCGUCUUAAGUGUUUAUAGCCUCUUGCCUAUGCAGUCGGAGAGAUUGAGGUCUGCAGCGUAGAUCCUUCGGGGCUAAAUGCAUUUGUGCUAAGUUAUAGCAUUUUAUAGACAACUUGUUGACUAUGAUUUGUCUUGUAGCUUACUCGCUUAUGUUAUUUUACCUACGCUUAGGAUGUUGAAGAUGUAGCACAUCAU